UUACCGAACAAAAGUAGGGAAAUGUGUGAGCCAGCUGCCAAGAAAAGCCGCUAUUGUUUGUACUGUACCCGUACCGUAAACCGACACAGGUAGGUGAGGAGAGAAUCCUAAGGCCGACGGGAGAAGCAUUGUUAAGGAACUCGGCAAAAUGACUCCGUAACUUCGGGAGAAGGAGUGCCAGUGAGAGCUGGCCGCAGAGAAUUGGCCCAAGCAACUGUUUAGCAAAAACACAGGUCUAUGCAAAACCGUAAGGUGAAGUAUAUGGGCUGACGCCUGCCCGGUGCUGGAAGGUUAAGGGGAGAGGUUAGCGCAAGCGAAGCUUUGAACUUAAGCCCCAGUAAACGGCGGCCGUAACAAUAACGGUCCUAAGGUAGCGAAAUUCCUUGUCGGGUAAGUUCCGACCCACACGAAAGGCGUAAUGAUUUGGGCACUGUCUCAACAAUGCACCCGGUGAAAUUGAAAUACCAGUGAAGAUGCUGGUUACCUGCGCCAGGACGGAAAGACCCCAUGGAGCUUUACUCCAGCUUGAUACUGGGAUUCGAUAUUGUAUGUACAGGAUAGGUGGGAGGCGAAGAGGCAUUGACGCCAGUUGAUGCGGAGCCGCUGUUGGGAUACCACCCUUGCAGUAUUGGAUUUCUAACCAGCAGCCGUGACCCGGCUGGGGGACAAUGUCAGGUGGGGAGUUUGACUGGGGCGGUCGCCUCCGAAAGGGUAUCGGAGGCGCUCAAAGGUUCCCUCAGAAUGGUUGGAAACCAUUCGAAGAGUGCAAAGGCAGAAGGGAGCUUGACUGCGACACCGACGGGUGGAGCAGGUACGAAAGUAGGACUUAGUGAUCCGGUGGUAUAAAGUGGGAUUGCCAUCGCUCAACGGAUAAAAGCUACCCUGGGGAUAACAGGCUUAUCACUCCCAAGAGUUCACAUCGACGGAGUGGUUUGGCACCUCGAUGUCGGCUCAUCGCAUCCUGGGGCUGAAGUAGGUCCCAAGGGUUGGGCUGUUCGCCCAUUAAAGCGGUACGCGAGCUGGGUUCAGAACGUCGUGAGACAGUUCGGUCCCUAUCCGGCGUGGGCGUAGGAUAUUUGAGAGGAGCUGGCCUUAGUACGAGAGGACCGGGCUGGACUGACCGCUGGUGUAUCUGUUGUUCCGCCAGGAGCAUGGCAGAGUAGCCAAGUCAGGAAGGGAUAAACGCUGAAGGCAUCUAAGCGUGAAGCCCCCCUCAAGAUGAGAUAUCCCAACGCAAGUUGUAAGACCCCUUGAAGACGACAAGGUAGAUAGGGCAGAGGUGGAAGUGCAGUAAUGCAUGGAGCUGACUGUUACUAAUCGGUCGAGGGCAUAACC
rnacentral:rRNA from 1 species